GCUUGUCGGCCAGAUGGGUGGGCUUUGAAAGCCCAUAAGAGAUGGCGAGCU
rnacentral:tRNA from 2 species